rnacentral:rRNA from 1 species
CAGUCGCCACGGUAAUACGUAGGUGGCAAGCGUUGUCCGGAUUUAUUGGGCGUAAAGCGAGCGCAGGCGGUUUCUUAAGUCUGAUGUGAAAGCCCCCGGCUCAACCGGGGAGGGUCAUUGGAAACUGGGAAACUUGAGUGCAGAAGAGGAGAGUGGAAUUCCAUGUGUAGCGGUGAAAUGCGUAGAUAUAUGGAGGAACACCAGUGGCGAAGGCGGCUCUCUGGUCUGUAACUGACGCUGAGGCUCGAAAGCGUGGGGAGCAAACAGGAUUAGAUACCCGGGUAGUCCCUGUCUCUUAUAC